rnacentral:tRNA from 1 species
GCCUCCGUGGCCCAACUGGACACGGCAGCCGGCUUCUACCCGGCAGACUCCGGGUUCGAGUCCCGGCGGGGGCA